rnacentral:rRNA from 1 species
GGCCUAACACAUGCAAGUCGAGCGGAAACGACACUAACAAUCCUUCGGGUGCGUUAAUGGGCGUCGAGCGGCGGACGGGUGAGUAAUGCCUAGGAAAUUGCCUUGAUGUGGGGGAUAACCAUUGGAAACGAUGGCUAAUACCGCAUGAUGCCUACGGGCCAAAGAGGGGGACCUUCGGGCCUCUCGCGUCAAGAUAUGCCUAGGUGGGAUUAGCUAGUUGGUGAGGUAAUGGCUCACCAAGGCGACGAUCCCUAGCUGGUCUGAGAGGAUGAUCAGCCACACUGGAACUGAGACACGGUCCAGACUCCUACGGGAGGCAGCAGUGGGGAAUAUUGCACAAUGGGCGAAAGCCUGAUGCAGCCAUGCCGCGUGUAUGAAGAAGGCCUUCGGGUUGUAAAGUACUUUCAGUUGUGAGGAAGGGUGUGUAGUUAAUAGCUGCGCAUCUUGACGUUAGCAACAGAAGAAGCACCGGCUAACUCCGUGCCAGCAGCCGCGGUAAUACGGAGGGUGCGAGCGUUAAUCGGAAUUACUGGGCGUAAAGCGCAUGCAGGUGGUUCAUUAAGUCAGAUGUGAAAGCCCGGGGCUCAACCUCGGAACUGCAUUUGAAACUGGUGAACUAGAGUACUGUAGAGGGGGGUAGAAUUUCAGGUGUAGCGGUGAAAUGCGUAGAGAUCUGAAGGAAUACCAGUGGCGAAGGCGGCCCCCUGGACAGAUACUGACACUCAGAUGCGAAAGCGUGGGGAGCAAACAGGAUUAGAUACCC